GGAUGCAACGUAUAUUGUUUCC
rnacentral:snRNA from 1 species